rnacentral:lncRNA from 13 species
UAUAUGUAUAAAUAAUUGUCAUGCUUACUCGAAUUCCAACCAGACUUAUAGUUAUACCAUUAAGUAAUAAUAGAAAUAAGAUCCUCAUCCAAGUAAGGUUCAUAUUUGCUAACUUGCUUCGUGACAUCCAGCUUUGAUAAUAUCUCCUCAAACUGCUGACUGCGAAGUAGGAUUCCUAUUCGUAUUUCAUAAAGGGUUUAAAAGUAUCGUAUAAAUCUACUGCGAAGAAUCGUGGACGUGAUUCAUUAAGAGGUCGUAUAAUGUCAAGAAAAACUGGUGUUAAUGGGAUUAAUAAAAAUGUCGUUACCAUGGA